GGGUGUGUAACUCAAUUAGGCAGAGUAGCUGGCUCUUACCCAGUAAGUUGCAGGUUCGAUUCCUGUCACACCCA
rnacentral:tRNA from 1 species